CAGCCGCCGCGGUAAAACGUAGGUGGCGAGCGUUGUCCGGAAUUAUUGGGCGUAAAGGGCUCGCAGGCGGUUUCUUAAGUCUGAUGCGAAAGCCCCCGGCUCAACCGGGGAGGGUCAUUGGAAACUGGGAAACUUGAGUGCAGAAGAGGAGAGUGGAAUUCCACGUGUAGCGGUGAAAUGCGUAGAGAUGUGGAGGAACACCAGUGGCGAAGGCGACUCUCUGGUCUGUAACUGACGCUGAGGAGCGAAAGCGUGGGGAGCGAACAGGAUUAGAUACCCCAGUAGUCCCUGUCUCUUAUAC
rnacentral:rRNA from 1 species